UGAAUUUAAAGUGGUCAUAGAAUUUAAACAAAUAUCAUUCAAAUUAUCUGGCCAGUAUUAUGCCCAGGGGCAUUGUAUUAGCCUAAUUUAUAUAUGUGUAUUUUACCUUAAGAGGCUCCAGAUUUUUCAGUUCUGAUCCCAUGAACUGAUAUGCUGCAGGAUACUACUUGUAAAACAUAAUAUUUUAAUUUUGCUGUAACAUUUGCUAGAAUCUGUUUUUCUACCAAAUAAUUAUGACUGAAAUGUGAUAAGCAAAAAUGGUCAGGAUAAAUUUGGGAAUUCACAGAGUCCUAUUUAUAAAGUUUCUCUUGUUUGAAACAAAAUGAUUAUCACAGAGAGAUAUUUAUCCUGGAUCGUGUUUGAUUCUCAUUAGUAUUGAGAACUUUGAGCUGUUCUUAUACCUAUAUGUUUUUCCUCAAAAAUGACUAUGAUUCCCUACUGAGGAAUAAAUGGUGAGGAAGAAAGCUAUUUAUGGAAUGGUAAGGAAAGGAAUAAAGAAAAUAUGUUUUAGAAGUUUAUAUAAAACAGUGAAACAGGUGUUUUCAGUACCUCUGGG
rnacentral:lncRNA from 1 species